rnacentral:snoRNA from 1 species
UGUAGCAAUAAUCACAUUAAAUAUCAAUGUUCUGUUCCCGUGGUAGCAGGGGCUGGCCCGGAUGACUGCCACAGCAAACUCUGCAGCUCAUGGGCCCUGGGUUCCCUGCCCUGGGACCUGGGGAUAAGUUUGGCUCUGGACAUGG